GACGAACGCUGGCGGCGUGCUUAACACAUGCAAGUCGAGCGGUAAGGCUCCUUCGGGAGUACACGAGCGGCGAACGGGUGAGUAACACGUGAGCAAUCUGCCCUUCACACGGGGAUAACCCUCGGAAACGAGAGCUAAUACCCGAUACGACCACUUCAGGCAUCUGAUGGGGGUGGAAAGUUCCGGCGGUGAAGGAUGAGCUCGCGGCCUAUCAGCUUGUUGGUGGGGUAACGGCCCACCAAGGCAACGACGGGUAGCCGGCCUGAGAGGGUGACCGGCCACACUGGGACUGAGACACGGCCCAGACUCCUACGGGAGGCAGCAGUGGGGAAUAUUGGACAAUGGGCGAAAGCCUGAUCCAGCAACGCCGCGUGAGGGAUGACGGCCUUCGGGUUGUAAACCUCUUUCAGCAGGGACGAGGCGCAAGUGACGGUACCUGCAGAAGAAGCACCGGCCAACUACGUGCCAGCAGCCGCAGUAA
rnacentral:rRNA from 1 species